rnacentral:lncRNA from 1 species
CCUUUAUACUUCAUAUAUAGGCUCCAAUGCACUUUUAGCCUAUAGUAACUCAUUCCUUUCCGCGUUCCGCUCAUUUCGACGAAACUCGGCACAACUUAUGGGGAAGUGAUAUGUUACAUUCCCCUGUUAGGUCCUAUGUGUUGGCAAGUUUCGUGGGUCGAGUCGGAGUCUUGAAGAAGUUCGGAGCGGAGUAUUGAAAAUCGAAGAAUUCAAGACUUCGAAGAAUCGGAAAGGACGCAAAACACGCAAAACUUGAAUCACGAUGCGUAGGUAAGUUUUAAAUCUUGUUUAUGGUGAUUCAUACUUAUUUAUAGAUCUUAGAAUCAUAUUUUCAAGUUGUAAUUGAUUAGAAAGUUUCUAAGAGUUUGUAAAAUCCGAAACAAUGCAUUUUCAGCGAAAAUUGCAUUGCUGUACCGGUACAAGGGUUUUCUGU